rnacentral:rRNA from 1 species
AACGAACGCUGGCGGCAGGCUUAACACAUGCAAGUCGAGCGCCCCGCAAGGGGAGCGGCAGACGGGUGAGUAACACGUGGGAAUCUACCCAUCCCUACGGAACAACUCCGGGAAACUGGAGCUAAUACCGUAUCCGCCCUUUGGGGGAAAGAUUUAUUGGGGAUGGAUGAGCCCGCGUUGGUUUAGCUAGUUGGUGGGGUAAAGGCCUACCAAGGCGACGAUCCAUAGCUGGGCUGAGAGGAUGAUCAGCCACAUUGGGACUGAGACACGGCCCAAACUCCUACGGGAGGCAGCAGUGGGGAAUAUUGGACAAUGGGCGGAAGGCUGAUCCAGCCAUGCCGCGUGAAUGAUGAAGGCCUUAGGGUUGUAAAGUUCUUUCACCGAUGAAGAUAAUGACGGUAGUCGGAGAAGAAGCCCCGGCUAACUUCGUGCCAGCCGCCGCCGUAA